CUCAUCCCCUAAAGGCUUAAACGAAGAGUUGACUAAUCGCCGAACCUUACACUGUGGGGGAUGAGCUGGACCAACGGGGAGCCUGAAGUGGAGGAUUGGAAAUUGUGUGAGAGAGGGUGCGCAAGGAUAGAUAAGAAUGCUAAAACAGCACCUGGACAUGGAUGACUGGUGUCACUAUAAUGGGAAGAAAGCAGCAACCAGCUGGACUCAGGAGACUCUCAAGAUCUCCAUCUCUCCCUGCAAAGCAGCUGCUCAAGCCAGCAGAACGAAAACCCUGCCGAAUGCCCUCGGGGUGAUCAUACCAGAUUGGGGGACCACAAAGUAAACCAUACAGGUGUAGAACUGUCUGACUCACCAAGUGAGUAUUCUAUUUUCAGUAGAGAAGGUUCCACAAGAACACCGGCGACACACCUAUCGUCAGGCCACCCAGACGAAGAUCUGCCCUGUCGCAACCCACCAACUGGGAGAGCGAGUCGGACUCUGGACAGCCGGAAAUCUUCCGCGAUAAUUGUGCGAGUCACAUUGUAGAAGCCUCCACAAAUCGUGUCACGUGUCGUAUGGCCUCGCAGGUCAGUGUCUUGUCAACAGACCAUUCCGUAGAGCAAAAAGCGGUGAUCAAGAGGUCCAAUCCUGGAGCUCAAGCUCGGAGGAAUGCUUGCCUGCCUUGUCUCUAUAGCCACUACAGCCUGCUGACAAGUUGUGUACGGAGGAAGCUGACAUACCCGAGUGCAUUUCGUUAUUGUCCGAAACUGACGCAGACUGACCUUUCCAGCGAAGAUGUAACGGUGAUAUGAUUUACCACUAGCUUAGACCCAACUCUCCCUCCCCAUCCCCCGCCCUGUUCUUUCCCGUCCCUUGUGCCCUCCUCCUCACGCACAUCCUAUCUCUUCGUCUUCCCCUGUUUAGCUUUUUGAGUUGAUGGACUCUGCUUCUUGGACCUUUCUACAAUCAAACAUUCUAACUCGUGUUAUUCUCCAUGCCUGAAUUGUUUUAAUUCCUUACUAUGCUUCUGAGCGCAACUCCCAUCUUCUGUUAAGCCAACCCCUUCCUCUCUUGCUUUUUACCUUUCCUCUUAGAAUAUAUCUUUCUAGGAUGAAUCAUUCUAUUUGAUAUGUUCAAAAUAGUUCAGGUUCAUUGUCAUUAUGCUCUGAAGGAGUGUUGGUGUUUCUAUACCUUUUUUUCUUCAUUCACCUUCUUUAGUUUCUGUCUUCAGUAUAUUUUUAAAAGUCUUCUUGUCUCUUGAUGGUCGUUGCUUCUUAAUAUUGCGGUGGAAAUACAACACUUCGUAGAAUUCUUUUUUUUUUCUAGCAAUGUGCUUUCCAUAUGAAAUAUAUCCUUUUCAAUAUCUAUGAUGCAAUUCAAAUUCUCUGGAAUAGUUUUCUCAUUCUCUUCAAACUUGUCUUGUCGUAUUUAAAAUUGCUUUCUUGCCAUUUCUACCUCACAAUUCUUCUUACAACACCUUUUUGCAUUUGUUUAUGUCUGUCAUUUCGCUUUCCUCUUCAUUUAGAUCAAUUCUGUUUGGGUCACUGUGCUCGUUGACAAAUUCUAUUUAAAGCCUCUCAUUCUCAAGAGUUUUGUGGCAACCUCGUUCCAAGCACAAUGUUUGCAACAAUGUUUAGGUCCAAACAGCGAUGUACUUUGCGUGAACCAGGUGAGGUUUCAUUUUAAUUGUUUAGUUUAGGCUCUUGGUGGUCUGAUUGUUCUGACUGUUCUGGUUGUAAGAUUUAUUGCUAUCCACCUCUAAACGUACCAAUGUAAUUUCUGCUCACAAACAACUAUCUUUUACUUGAUUUGUCUACAAAUAUCUCUUUUUGAUAACUCAAGGUAAAGUUAACAAAGAUAUCAAAUUGGGCUUGAGAUGAUGGUAUGAACCAAAUCCAUGCUUUUUUGGCAGAUGCUUGUGAAUGUAGAAUUACGUUUAUUAAGCUGACAAUAUAAAUACGCACAGUGACCUUUAGUAUUUUCUUCUCAACAUUUGCAAAGUGUUUUUAUUUUCAUCCUAGUUUUGUUUUUUUAUUGCCGCAACGGUUUCAUUAGGUAUCAGGCAUGGAACAAAACUUCAGAACAAUAAAUGGUCUGUUUUUCUAACUUAUAAAAGCACAACAUUUUUGUUUUGUCUUCCACAACUCAAAACGGCCCCUCACCACUCCCUCCCUUGUGGAAGUCGGAAGUACUGGGCCUCACCGUGGCACAAGGGUGUAACACUCUGUUCAAAUCAGAAGGGUGACUAAGAAAACGCUAAUAUGUCUAGCAAUAUCCUUCUUUCUGGUUUGAACUUUAUGGCUAACACAGUACGGCGCAUAAUAAAAAUGAAAUAUGUAACUAGUAACUCAGAUUUUUUCCAACUUCUGCCCAUUCCUCCGAAGGGAAUUGGAGGGGGGGGGAGGGUUGACAGUGUGGUAUAAUCAAUUAGCCAACCUGGAAUUAUAUUAGACAUCUACAACUGGUUGUACUACUCGAAUAAAUCUGGCUUGCGGUUGGCCUGCUGAACACAA
rnacentral:lncRNA from 1 species